UGGGGAAUAUUGCACAAUGGGCGCAAGCCUGAUGCAGCCAUGCCGCGUGUAUGAAGAAGGCCUUCGGGUUGUAAAGUACUUUCAGCGGGGAGGAAGGGAGUAAAGUUAAUACCUUUGCUCAUUGACGUUACCCGCAGAAGAAGCACCGGCUAACUCCGUGCCAGCAGCCGCGGUAAUACGGAGGGUGCAAGCGUUAAUCGGAAUUACUGGGCGUAAAGCGCACGCAGGCGGUUUGUUAAGUCAGAUGUGAAAUCCCCGGGCUCAACCUGGGAGCUGCAUCUGAUACUGGCAAGCUUGAGUCUCGUAGAGGGGGGUAGAAUUCCAGGUGUAGCGGUGAAAUGCGUAGAGAUCUGGAGGAAUACCGGUGGCGAAGGCGGCCCCCUGGACAAAGACUGACGCUCAGGUGCGAAGGCGUGGGGAGCAAACAGG
rnacentral:rRNA from 1 species